rnacentral:rRNA from 1 species
AACGAACGCUGGCGGCAGGCCUAACACAUGCAAGUCGAGCGGACCCUUCGGGGUUAGCGGCGGACGGGUGAGUAACGCGUGGGAAUAUGCCCUUCUCUACGGAAUUGUCCUGGGAAACUGGGGGUAAUACCGUAUACGCCCUUUGGGGGAAAGAUUUAUCGGGGAAGGAUUAGCCCGCGUUGGAUUAGGUAGUUGGUGGGGUAAUGGCCUACCAAGCCGACGAUCCAUAGCUGGUUUGAGAGGAUGAUCAGCCACACUGGGACUGAGACACGGCCCAGACUCCUACGGGAGGCAGCAGUGGGGAAUCUUAGACAAUGGGGGCAACCCUGAUCUAGCCAUGCCGCGUGAGUGAUGAAGGCCUUAGGGUUGUAAAGCUCUUUCAGCUGGGAAGAUAAUGACGGUACCAGCAGAAGAAGCCCCGGCUAACUCCGUG